CCUCUCGGGGGGAGCCGCCUAGCCACCUGCUCGCCCGUGGGCUCACGACCCGGAGCGGCUACACCGCAGCAACAGCAGCAGGACCCCACCCCGCCCGCCCGCGGCCGGACGCUGCUCUUGCGGGCCUGGUCCCGGAAGGGAGGCCCGCUCCGCGACCGACCCCGCGCACCGUGACGGCGGGGGCGGCGGGCCGGGGGAUGGGCGGCCGGAGCCAGAAAAGGCAGAGAGGACCCAGAGAUCAAAUUGCCAACAUUCGUUGGAUCAUACAAAAAGCAGGAGAAUUCCAGAAGAACAUCGACUUCUCCUUCAUUGUCUAUGCUAAAACUUUUGACUGUGUGGAUCACAACAAACUGUGGAAAAUUCUUAUUAAAGAGAUGGAAAUACCAGACCACCUUACCUGCCUCCUCAGAAACCUAUAUGCAGAUCAAGAAGCAACAGUUAGAACAGGACAUGGAACAAUGGGACUGGUUCCAAAUUGGGAAAGGAGUGUGGUCAAUCCUGUAUAUUGUUACCCUGCUUAUUUAACUUACAUGCAAUGUAUUGUGUAUAGAAUGUCCAUAUGUAAUAAUGCAAUGUUAUUUAUAUAUGAAUAUAAACACAAUAUAAAAUGUGGUUGUAU